UUAAUUCAUUUUCUUUCCCUUGUCAACGGAAACACAAGGAAGCAUUCAAAAAAAAGAAGAGGAGAUUCAUUCUACAGUUUCCUGUAAACAGACAAACAGCAUCCCAAAAGACCAUUACCACCUGUUGAUUGAAAAAAAUAAAAAAUAUAUAUAUGAAAAAAAAAAAAGAGUGGGAGCGGGCAGCAUCGUAUUCUUCUUCAUCCUAUGCCAUGAACCACCGGUGGUGGUGGUGCUCCGGUGAACCAUUAGGCAGCAGCCCCAACCCACACAUUCAUUGAUUUCUAUAAAAUAAAUAAAUAAAUAAUAAUAAUAAUAAUAAUAAUAAUAAUAAGAGAUAGAGAGAAGAAGAGCAAGGGAGUCUGCCGGAGCAUACCUGCAAUCGCCGGAGACCUCACCAUCGCACCCUCCUCUUCCUUCUUCCGUCGAGCCAAUGCCACCGAAACCCCACCUGUUCGUCGGACCCUCUUCUGGUCUUACCCCUCGCUCCCUUCCUUUCUGAUUCUAUCGAUCAAGACCUCGGGGGAUCUCGAUUUCAUCGCUGCUGCUGUUCGCAUCGCUCCAGAUGGACCAGUCCCAUUUCCCCCGUCGCACUACGCUCGCCUUCUCCCUCUUCGUGUUUCCCCCAUCAACACCACCGAGACCUCGUACUUUCCCUUUCGUGUACCGCUGCUGGAACUUCAACCGAUGCCUUCAAGCUCACCUAACUUGGUUCUAGUGUUGUGACUGGCACUCUACCAAAUCCAUCAAUUCUUGGAUUGGUUGCUUCUGAGAGAGCUGCUCUUCCGACUGCUCGUAUUCAUCCCUUCCCAAAUCACACACCCGAAGACCCCGGCAGCUUCGCGGCUUCUUCCCACCUUCACUGCCGUCUCGCUGCUUCACCCACCUCCUUUGUCGGCCUUGUCAACCUCGGAGACACCCCGUUCCCGUUGCGAGAUGGCGACCGCCAUCAGGCCUAACAAUCGCCUUUCGUUUCGCUACUCGGAAUCGACUAUCUCCAUGUUCAUCUGCUUCCGUUCAUUCGUGGCUUCA
rnacentral:lncRNA from 1 species